AUUGAACGCUGGCGGCAGGCCUAACACAUGCAAGUCGAGCGGGGUUUUCGGACCUAGCGGCGGACGGGUGAGUAAUGCGUAGGAAGCUGCCCGAUAGAGGGGGAUGCCAGUUGGAAACGACUGUUAAUACCGCAUAAUGUCUACGGACCAAAGUGCGGGACCUUCGGGCCACAUGCUAUCGGAUGCGCCUACGUGGGAUUAGCUAGUUGGUGAGGUAAUGGCUCACCAAGGCGACGAUCUCUAGCUGGUUUGAGAGGAUGAUCAGCCACACUGGAACUGAGACACGGUCCAGACUCCUACGGGAGGCAGCAGUGGGGAAUAUUGGACAAUGGGCGCAAGCCUGAUCCAGCCAUGCCGCGUGUGUGAAGAAGGCCUUCGGGUUGUAAAGCACUUUCAGCGAGGAGGAAGGGUGGUGUGUUAAUAGCACAUCAUUUUGACGUUACUCGCAGAAGAAGCACCGGCUAACUCUGUGCCAGCCGCCGCAGUAAAAC
rnacentral:rRNA from 1 species